rnacentral:rRNA from 1 species
UACAUGGGGUGCAAACGUUGCUCGGAAUCAUUGGGCGUAAAGCGCGCGUAGGCGGUUACACAAGUUGGAUGUGAAAGCCCUCGGCUUAACUGAGGAAGUGCAUCCAAAACUGUGCAGCUAGAGUACUAAAGAGGGUCGCGGAAUUCCCGGUGUAGAGGUGAAAUUCGUAGAUAUCGGAAGGAACACCGGUGGCGAAGGCGGCGACCUGGGUAGAUACUGACGCUGAGGCGCGAAAGCGUGGGAGCAAACAGG